rnacentral:tRNA from 1 species
GGAGAGAUGCGGGAGUGGUUUAUCCGGACGGUCUCGAAAACCGUUGUGCCUCCGGGCACCGUGGGUUCGAAUCCCACUCUCUCCGCCA